CAAUAACAGAUAUUGUGGCAAUUGAUUAAUUAGAUAGGCCAGAGGGAUCACAAUUUUUGUAAAGUUUUGUUAGAUAAUUUUUAGAUAGGUAUCAAUUGAGUGUUUACAAGGACACUGCACUGGUAGGAGUAGGACUAUGUAGAAUAAGUAGUUAUUUUCAGAAUGUAGAUACCUAGUGUAUAGUGUAACAGGGAUACAUAACUACUAAAAAGGUGGUUCAGUAGGUAGAAUGGAUGAAUAGUCAGAAAAAGUAGUUAUCAUCUGUAGUAUAGGAGUUGGUAUCUCGAGGUAGUAUAAGGAGGAUGGGAGAGGGGAAGAAAAUGCCAGACUGUGAAAGUUGUGAGCCGAGGGCUAGAUUGUCAGAGUCAUAAGCCGAGGGCCACAUU
rnacentral:lncRNA from 1 species